rnacentral:rRNA from 1 species
AUCUACCUUCAGGACGGGGACAACAGCUGGAAACGGCUGCUAAUACCCGAUAUGCCGAAAGGUGAAAAGUUAUUUCGCCUGGAGAGGAGCUCGCGUCCGAUUAGCUAGUUGGUGGGGUAAAAGCUUACCAAGGCAACGAUCGGUAGCUGGUCUGAGAGGAUGAGCAGCCACACUGGAACUGAGACACGGUCCAGACUCCUACGGGAGGCAGCAGUGGGGAAUUUUCCGCAAUGGGCGAAAGCCUGACGGAGCAACGCCGCGUGGGGGAAGAAGGUUUUUGGAUUGUAAACCCCUUUUCUCAAGGAAGAACAAAAUGACGGUACUUGAGGAAUCAGCCUCGGCUAACUCCGUGCCAGCAGCCGCGGUAAUACGAAGACAAGCGUUAUCCGGAAUUAUUGGGCGUUAAAGCGUUCGUAGCGGCUGUUCAAUUCUGCUGUUCAAAGACCGAAGCUCAACUCGGUUCUGCAGUUGGAAACUGGAUACCUAGAGUCGUAGGGCAGAAGGGAAUUCCCAGGUGUGCGGUGAAAUGCGUAGAUAUUGUGAAGAACACCGGUNGCGAAAGCGCUNUGCUGGGCCNNACCUGACGNNGAGGGACGNAACCCCGGNAU